AAAAAUUUUAUGGAAUACAAUUCAAAAAUCAUUUUGUUUUGAUCAUUUCUUCCAUUUUUGAAUUGUAUCGAAUUCAUUUUCUAUUUUAAAGUGAACAGUGACCUUAUAAAACUUUUUUUUGACCUUCAUUAAGUUUUAUCCAUUAAAUUAAAUAAUAGGUUCAUUCCCACAAUAUCUUGAAUGAAUGUAAAUAAAAAAGGUAUCACAAAAAAAAUCUUUAUUUUUGUUAAAUUAGAUUCUAAAACUAGUAAUUUCUAUUAUCAUUUUUAGUUUUUACAAUUUGGCUUUCCAUAUUUUUAAAUAAAGUCUCAUCCUUGUAGCUAGAUCAAGAUUUGUAUCUCAAAUCAAUACUUUUUGGCAUUACAACUAUGGAGUCCAAUUAUUUUAUUCUUUCUUCGCUUUUCUUUCAUCAAAUACGCUCUCUUACUCUUAUUUGUUAUUGAACGAUUAACCAAUAAAAAAAGGAUUCCAACAAAAAACUACUUCUACAACUAAGAAAAGGAAUUUUCUAGAUCUCGUGCAUCUACUUAAAUUGU
rnacentral:lncRNA from 1 species